AUGUCCUACGGGACGCAGCAGUGGGGAAUAUUGCACAAUGGGGGAAACCCUGAUGCAGCAACGCCGCGUGAAGGAAGACGGUUUUCGGAUUGUAAACUUCUGUUCUUAGUGAAGAAGAAUGACGGUAGCUAAGGAGCAAGCCCCGGCUAACUACGUGCCAGCAGCCGCGGUAAUACGUAGGGGGCGAGCGUUGUCCGGAAUCAAUGGGCGUAAAGGGCGCGUAGGCGGUAAUAUAAGUAAGAUGUGAAAGGGGGGGGCUCAACCCCUAGAGUGCAACUGAUACUGUAUAACUUGAGUGGGAGAGG
rnacentral:rRNA from 1 species